UACGUAGGUGGCAAGCGUUGUCCGGAUUUAUUGGGUUUAAAGGGUGCGUAGGCGGCCCUGUAAGUCAGUGCUGAAAUAUCCCGGCUUAACCGGGAGGGUGGCAUUGAUACUGCAGGGCUUGAGUGAAGUCGAGGUAGGCGGAAUUGACGGUGUAGCGGUGAAAUGCUUAGAUAUCGUCAAGAACACCGAUAGUGAAGACAGCUUACUAGACUUCAACUGACGCUGAGGCACGAAAGCGUGGGGAUCAAACAGG
rnacentral:rRNA from 1 species